rnacentral:lncRNA from 1 species
CAUAUUUUAGACGAAGAAAAUCUUUAUAAAUUGUAUUACAAACUUACAUAGUCACGUUUCGCUGCAUUCCGCCGAGAUUGUUUCUUAAAACUGUUUCGAGGUAUUUUCCACAGGUUCUUUUUGCCAUACAAUGUUUUAUAUACUCAUUCUUGUGCCAAAAUUUAGUUAAAUUCGUCCACAUUUGUUAUAAAUACUUAUUUAAAUUUCGCCGCCAUAUUGGAUUUUGUUGUUUUGAUUUCCCGCUCCCCCCAGACAUCACGA